rnacentral:rRNA from 1 species
CCUACGGGAGGCAGCAGUGAGGAAUAUUGGUCAAUGGACGAGAGUCUGAACCAGCCAAGUAGCGUGAAGGAUGACUGCCCUAUGGGUUGUAAACUUCUUUUAUAUGGGAAUAAAACGUUCCACGUGUGGGAUUUUGUAUGUACCAUAUGAAUAAGGAUCGGCUAACUCCGUGCCAGCAGCCGCGGUAAUACGGAGGAUCCGAGCGUUAUCCGGAUUUAUUGGGUUUAAAGGGAGCGUAGGUGGAUUGUUAAGUUAGUUGUGAAAGUUUGCGGCUCAACCGUAAAAUUGCAGUUGAGACUGGCAGUCUUGAGUACAGUAGAGGUAGGCGGAAUUCGUGGUGUAGCGGUGAAAUGCUUAGAGAUCACGAAGAACUCCGAUUGCGAAGGCAGUUCACUGGACUGCAACUGACACUGAGGCUCGAAAGUGUGGGUAUCAAACAGGAUUAGAUACCCGUGUAGUC